rnacentral:rRNA from 1 species
GACGAACGCUGGCGGCGUGCUUAACACAUGCAAGUCGAACGGAAAUGCCCUGCUUUUGUGGGGUGCUCGAGUGGCGAACGGGUGCGUAACACGUGAGUCACCUGCCCUUGACUUUGGGAUAACUUCAGGAAACUGGGGCUAAUACCGGUUAGGAGCUCCUGCUGCAUGGUGGGGGUUGGAAAUUUUCGGCGGUUGGGGAUGGACUCGCGGCUUAUCAGCUUAUUGGUGGGGUAGUGGCUUACCAAGGCUUUGACGGGUAGCCGGCCUGAGAGGGUGACCGGCCACAUUGGGACUGAGAUACGGCCCAGACUCCUACGGGGAGCAGCAGUGGGGAAUAUUGCACAAUGGGCGGAAAACUGAUGCAGCAACGCCGCGUGCGGGAUGACGGCCUUCGGGUUGUAAACCGCUUUCGCCUGUGACGAAGCGUGAGUGACGGUAAUGGGUAAAGAAGCACCGGAUAACUACGUG